rnacentral:rRNA from 1 species
AUUGAACGCUGGCGGCAGGCCUAACACAUGCAAGUCGAGCGAGCGGCGGACGGGUGAGUAAUGUCUGGGAAACUGCCUGAUGGAGGGGGAUAACUACUGGAAACGGUAGCUAAUACCGCAUACCAUCAGAUGUGCCCAGAUGGGAUUAGCUCGUAGGUGGGGUAAUGGCUCACCUAGGCGACGAUCCCUAGCUGGUCUGAGAGGAUGACCAGCCACACUGGAACUUAGACACGGACCAGACUCCUACGGGAGGAAGCAGUGGUGAAUAUUGCACAAUAGGCGCAAGCCUGAUGAAGCCAUGCCGCGUGUAUGAAGAAGGCCUUCGGGUUGUAAGGUACUUUCAGCGGGGAGGCGUUACCCGCAGAAGAAGCACCGGAUAACUCCGUGCCAGCCGCCGCGGUAAUAC